CUGAGACAGCUCUAAAACGUGUGAGUGUGCACUUUUGCCCAUUUGUACUCCCUUCACAAACAUCUACUAUACUGCACCAUAAUCUGUUUCUUGCUUUGUACUUAUAGAGUCAUAUAGUAAGGACAUCAUCUGCAUCGUAUGUAUAUAUAAUAUUAAGCGCUGAUUACCUCCUGUCUGUUAUCUUUACUAUCCACUUCACAAGGGUGGAGAGAACCCGGUGUUGGGGAUUUCCUGCUAAUUAUAGAUAUUGAGCACUUAUACUCACCAGUUUUUCCAUAUCAUGGGCUCCACUGCUCAGCCUGCGGCUACGCAGCCCCAUACCCAGCAAACUAAGAUGCACUGUGUGUUCUGACACCUUUCUAUCAUGGCAAGCAUUAUUUUCAGCAAUUUGAGCUUCAGUAGAGCUUCCGUGUGAUCUGACCAGACGGGCAAGUCUUCGCUCCCACAUACAUCAAUGAGCCCUGGCAUGAAUCUGACGCCAGUACACCGGUUCUUCUUCCUUGCACCACUUUUGGUA